CGGAGGCACCCGCGGAGAAAACUGGCUCGCCCAAGAGAGCGCACAGAUUUCUGCCAAAGAUCCGAAGAUGGUUGUUUAGAUGGAGCAAACACAGACCCGCGCAUGUAAUCUGAAUUGGAUCCGGGACCUUGAGACCUGGGACUGAGAAGUUUGAAUGCAGAGGACGUCCUUUAAAACCUGACCUACCAUCCAAACUCCCCAGCUCAGGGUCUUUGGACCUCAGAACGACGUCCUUCUUUGUGGCUGAGACAUUCCCAUGCACUGCAGGGCGCUGGGGAGCAUCUUUAGCCUCACCCACCAGAUGCCAGAAGCAUCCCUCGCCCUGAGCCACGACCCUCAGACAUGUCUCCAGACCUGGCCAGGAGCCGCUCUCAAUCACAGCUGCCCGGGUUAAGCAGCCCUGCUCUGGCCGCUCCCUUCGCCGUUUAUGGGGAGGCCUCAGCAGCUCCCCUUUCAACCAUUUUCUGCAGAGACCUCUCUUGUGGCACCUUUGGAUUCAAAGCCCCUAACC